UACGGGGGGAGCAAGCGUUGUUCGGAUUUACUGGGCGUAAAGGGCGCGUAGGCGGCCGUGACAAGUCACUUGUGAAAUCUCCGGGCUUAACUCGGAACGGUCAAGUGAUACUGUCGGACUAGAGUACAGAAGGGGCAACUGGAAUUCUCGGUGUAGCGGUGAAAUGCGUAGAUAUCGGGAGGAACAUCAGUGGCGAAGGCGACUGCCUGGCCCAACACUGACGCUGAGGUGCGAAAGCGUGGGUAGCAAACAGG
rnacentral:rRNA from 1 species